GAUGAACGCUGGCGGCGUGCCUAAUACAUGCAAGUCGAGCGAACAGACGAGGAGCUUGCUCCUCUGACGUUAGCGACGGACGGGUGAGUAACACGUGGAUAACCUACCUAUAAGACUGGGAUAACUUCGGGAAACCGGAGCUAAUACCGGAUAAUAUAUUUAACCGCAUGGUUCAAUAGUGAAAGACGGUUUUGCUGUCACUUAUAGAUGGAUCCGCGCCGCAUUAGCUAGUUGGUAAGGUAACGGCUUACCAAGGCAACGAUGCGUAGCCGACCUGUGAGGGUGAUCGGCCACACUGGAACGGAGACACGGUCCAGACUCCUACGGGAGGCAGCAGUAGGGAAUCUUCCGCAAUGGGCGAAAGCCUGACGGAGCAACGCCGCGUGAGUGAUGAAGGUCUUCGGAUCGUAAAACUCUGUUAUUAGGGAAGAACAAAUGUGUAAGUAACUAUGCACGUAUUGACGGUACCUAAUCAGAAAGCAACGGCUAACUACGUG
rnacentral:rRNA from 1 species